rnacentral:rRNA from 1 species
UACAGAGGUCUCAAGCGUUGUUCGGAUUCAUUGGGCGUAAAGGGUGCGUAGGCGGCGCGGUAAGUCGGGUGUGAAAUCUCGGAGCUUAACUCCGAAACUGCAUUCGAUACUGCCGUGCUUGAGGACUGGAGAGGAGACUGGAAUUUACGGUGUAGCGGUGAAAUGCGUAGAUAUCGUAAGGAAGACCAGUGGCGAAGGCGGGUCUCUGGACAGCAACUGACGCUGAGACGCGAAAGCGUGGGGAGCAAACAGG